rnacentral:rRNA from 1 species
UACGGAGGAUGCGAGCGUUAUCCGGAUUUAUUGGGUUUAAAGGGUGCGUAGGCUGGUAAUUAAGUCAGUGGUGAAAUACUCCGGCUCAACCGGGGGGCUGCCGUUGAUACUGGUUACCUUGAGUUUAGAUGAUGUGGGCGGAAUGUGUCAUGUAGCGGUGAAAUGCAUAGAGAUGACACAGAACACCGAUAGCGAAGGCAGCUCACAAAGCUAUUACUGACGCUGAUGCACGAAAGCGUGGGGAUCAAACA